rnacentral:rRNA from 1 species
UACGGAGGGUGCAAGCGUUAUCCGGAUUUACUGGGUUUAAAGGGUGUGUAGGCGGACUUUUAAGUCAGCGGUGAAAUCUCCGGGCUCAACCCGGAAACUGCCAUUGAUACUAUUAGUCUUGAAUCUUGUUGAGGUGGGCGGAACGGGUCAUGUAGCGGUGAAAUGCAUAGAUAUGACCAGGAACACCGAUUGCGAAGGCAGCCCACUAAGCAAGUAUUGACGCUGAGGCACGAAAGCGUGGGGAUCAAACAGG